rnacentral:rRNA from 1 species
UACAGAGGGUGCGAGCGUUGUCCGGAAUCACUGGGCGUAAAGGGCGCGUAGGCGGCCUGUUAAGUCGAACGUGAAAUCCCCGGGCUCAACCCGGGAACUGCGUCCGAUACUGGCAGGCUUGAAUCCGGGAGAGGGAUGUGGAAUUCCAGGUGUAGCGGUGAAAUGCGUAGAUAUCUGGAGGAACACCGGUGGCGAAGGCGGCAUCCUGGACCGGUAUUGACGCUGAGGCGCGAAAGCCAGGGGAGCAAACGGG